GGUGAACGCUGGCGGCGUGCCUAACACAUGCAAGUCGAGCGGUGCAGUUUGAAGCUUCGGUGGAAAGCUGCAUAGCGGCGGACGGGUGAGGAAAACGUAGGAACGUGCCCCUUGGAGUUGGAUAGCCACGGGAAACUGUGGGUAAACCGACAUAGACUCGAGAGAGUAAAGGCCGAAAGGCGCCAAGGGAGCGGCCUGCGGCCCAUCAGGUAGUUGGUAGUGUAAAGGACUACCAAGCCGACGACGGGUAGCCGGUCUGAGAGGAUGGCCGGCCACAAGGGCACUGAGAGACGGGCCCUACUCCUACGGGAGGCAGCAGUGAGGAAUAUUGGUCAAUGGGCGCAAGCCUGAACCAGCCAAGUAGCGUGCAGGAUGACGGCCCUAUGGGUUGUAAACUGCUUUUAUGCGGGGAUAAAGUGAGGGACGUGUCCCUCAUUGCAGGUACCGCAUGAAUAAGGACCGGCUAAUUCCGUG
rnacentral:rRNA from 1 species